rnacentral:lncRNA from 1 species
AUUCGGUAGUCAUAGAAGAGAACUCGGCAAAGAGGACUCCAUGUGCUAUAGUAGGCCCCUCAUGAUCUAGGUGAUGUGAAGCCUUAGCAUCCUCCUCCGGUCCACCUCUCACUCGACCACGACCUCAUCCUAUUGGCUUUCGUCCAGCUCUCGCUCGAGAAGGAACUGCUCAACCAUCCUCGGUGUGCUCCCGACUGCAGUGACCAUAGCGGUAUGCAUCUAUCUCCACUUGUGUGAGUCUCGACUUGGAAAGAUCCAAGUAGCUGUAGGACUAAAGAAUAUCGGGAACACUCAGUCGUGGAGCUGAAUAGGGCGGAGUAAUGUCAUCUCGUCCCUUGAAACAUGAUGUCUACUUCGACCAACCAUAUUGCACCAAGAAAUAUUCUCACGCUAAGCAAGAUGGAAAAAGUGAGCGUAGGCAUCAAGUACUUGAGUGAAGUAUGAGGAACCUCCAACCCAUGAUCCUUUGGCAUCAAGUACUUGCGUCGAAUGGUCUAGUGAACCCCAUUGCCAUAGCGAACUCAUCCAAUGUCUCAUAGAAAUCCUGACCUCCCAAGGAGUAGGAGAUGCACUCCUAUGUUGCCUACUCUUUCAAGUCUCAUACUUGAAAGAGCUCAAGAACUCCUGGAGAAGGACACACAUCACUUCUCUGCCUCUAUCACCCCUAGAGUGCACUAGAAGAAGUCCACUACCAGGUUUGACCGUCCUAUAUUUCUGGAGUGUGGGAUGCAACACUAGGAGGCAUGUUUGAUGAAAGCAUGACUGUUUUCAGUGCAGGCAGCCAGGGCACUUUGCUCAGGAGUGCACUGAGUUUAGUAAUCGUGCAACAUCUGAGGCUACAAUGUAGUAGAAGAGGUCUAGGAGCAGUA